AGGCCUGGACACUCUCAAGAGACU
rnacentral:piRNA from 1 species